rnacentral:lncRNA from 1 species
CCCAGGGAGCGGGGCAGGGGCGACCCCAGGGGGCAGCGUGACCCUCAGGAGUGGGCAGGCUGUGGGGUGCCUCAGCCCUCACGGACCUGGGAUAACCCAAGAGAAUGGUUCCUAAUCGCAACUGUCCCCCGCAUGGCACUGUUUCCUGCCAGCUACCAUCCUAGAACCUCUGAGAGACCAACUCAUUUAGUUUUUGGAACAAUGCCGGGGGGUGGGUACUCAUAUAACCCCCCCAUUAUAUGAGAUGAGAACAUUGAGCCAUAAAAAGUUACACAGCUGGUGGAUGACAAUCCUAGGGUUCGAAACUGAGGAAGUCUAGAUCCGGCGUUUGUCAUUUUAUUUGUUUUAUUUUUUGGCUGAACAUCUGCAGCAUGCAAAAGUUCCCAGGCCAGGAAUCGAACUCACGCCAUAGCAGUGACCUGAGCCACAACAGUGACCUGAGCCAUAGCAGUGACCUGAGCCACAGCAAUGACAACACCAGAUCCUUAACUCGCUAGGCCCCCAGGGAACUCUGGUGUUUUCGUAAUUUUUUUUUUUUUUUUGUCUUUUUGCCAUUUCUUGGGCCGCUCUCGCGGCAUAUGGAGGUUCCCAGGCUAGGGGUCUAAUCGGAGCUGUAGCCGCUGACCUACGCCAGAGCCACAGCAACGCGGGAUCCGAGCCGUGUCUGCAACCUACGCCACAGCUCAUGGCAACGCCGGAUCGUUAACCCACUGAGCAAGGGCAGGGACCGAACCCGCAACCUCAUGGUUCCUAGUCGGAUUCGUUAACCACUGCGCCACCACGGGAACUCCCUGUUUUCGUAAUUUUAACCAUGACAUUAUAUUGCUUCCCAGGGAACAUCUCCAUCCAGGUCCAAGGAACCAUUUGGGAGAAGCUCCAGACCAUGCAAGGAGAAAAGAGAAACACAAAUGCUCUCCCUGGUAAGCAAUUGACAGAACGCAGAGAUUCCACUUAAACAGCAAGCAAGAUGGAGAGGUGAAAGGAGUGGGCGUUGACCAGCCCAAGGGCACAGGUAAGGUCGUUGAAUUUCCACCUCUGGUGUCCUUUCCACUUAGAGAGAU